CAAAUGCUGGCCAGAAAGUGAGGAGGCUUUAAACUUGGCUACUGGCUACAUCAGCAUGUAAUUCUUCACAGUGGGAAAAUGUCAGCAGAAUGAAGCUGAAGAACUUUCAUCUAUGGAGGAACAAAAUGUAGAUUCUUCACUUGGAUAAUGGGAGUAGGAGUCUUCUGGUACAAGGCAGAUACACAUGCUUAUCUCUGAACAACAAGAUCCCCUGUAGGAGGAAAAAUCUUGUCUGCAUUGAGGCCAGAAGAAAAGUGGUAGAGAAAUAAAAUGGGGAGGGAUGAGGUUGGGGGUAGAUCAAGCAAACUGAAAAUAAUAAUAAUAAAAAAAAAAAGUCCACAUUAUAAUGAACUGGAAAAAUUGGAUAACUACUAGAGGCCUGCAUUUUUAUUUUUUAUUUUCCAAAGAAAAGGAAACAGCAACAGCAAACCCACCAAGAUGCAAUUCAAAAUUGAUAGACCACCUUCAAAAACAUAAUGGGGGUAUAUUUAUGUAGGGUUUUUUUUGCAAAACCAUAGAAAAGUUGAGGCUGAAUUUUAUCCCCAUCUGCACUCUUCCCUUUUCCCCAAGAUUUUGAUAUCCUUUUACAGUGGAAGAGGUCAAGCCUGUGAAUCUGUGGUUUACUAAAGAUGACAUUUUAAAGAUUGGGAAACUUCUCAGUGGAAAUCAAUGAGUGCAGUCCUUUUGGGUUUUGAAAAUAUAAAUUAAAGAAAAUUGAGUAUCUGACCUAAAGGGUGAAACCUAUGCAGGAACAAGAGAAAAUUGUACUUUAGAAGUCAAUAUCAACCGAAGUUUCUUUCUGUUAAGAAAUUCAGCAGUACAAAAUAUUGAGGGCACAAGGUUGCAGUGAAGUUUGUGAAUUUGUUUUUAAUUAUUAUUUUUGUUGUUAUUUGUUGUUGUGUUGUUUUUUAUAUUAUGUGGAAUGCCAAUCACUACUUACAAACAAAUGUCAUGAUUUUCACUGAAUGAAAAACUUUGUAGUCACUGCUGCAUUAUUUUUGAUAUCCCUAUUCCUGAUUUUUCCAACUCCUUGUGCUGGAGAUUGCACUUCAAUUUAAUUUUUACAUGGAGAAAGUGAAAGAAAAUGUAAAACAAGUUAGGACUCACUCUCUAAGAUGUUAGUUGCAGGAGGUGAUAGGGUACGUACUGUGUAUUGCAUGGGAUUUUAUGUUAGGACCUCUUACAGAAGAUUUUCUAUUUAGUUUCCUUAUUUUUCAUCACCAAAUAAAGCCUCUUGAUGUUAUUAAUAAUGAAUUAUUAUCUUAGCUUGCUUGUAUCUGACAAGACUGCAUGUAAAAUGACGUGUAUUUAGCACUGCAGAACACUAGGAGAGCAAGACUUCAAAAUGAGCAGUUGCAUUAAAACCAUGCAUUCUUUAUGACUGUGAAUUAAAAAAAAAAUCAGUUUUGUACAUUUUCUGAAAACCAAGAGAGUCUAAUGUAUUUGAGGACAUUUUUUAUAUGUGUGCUAUAAAAAAAUUGCUCUGUGUGACAAUAUGUAAAUAUAUGCAUAGCUUGAAUAUUUUUCAGACUUCUUAGAUACUAUACCCCUUUCUCCUUCCAGCCCUUCCCUUGGGACAUCCAAUUGAAGUAUGAUAAAAUGAGUGCAUAUAUGAGCUCAUUAAUACUUAUCAAAUGUUUCAAAAAUUACAGGAUUAUAAAAAUACCGAGUUUUUCAAAACUGUGUUAGUAUCUUUCAUUUCAGAAAGCACUGAUCCGAGGAAAAAUUGAUAUUCCCCUCCCUAACCUAUCCUACAGUUUUCAGAAAUUGAUAUCCUGAAGCUGAUGUAUGAAUUACCAGCUUUCUUGGAUAGAGCAUCUUCUGUUCUGCCCUCUGCUUCAAGCUCUGAUGAGAUUGCUUUUUAAUGCUGGCUCCACUUAUAACUUUAUUUGUAUGGGCACGUGCACUCUUUUGCAUUCUCAAAUGAGUUGAGAGAGACAACUGAAUUUGUAAGUGCAAAUAGCCAGCUAUUGUAUUCAGAUGUGCCUGGGAUAGAUUCAUAUGCAUACAUAAGGCUUGUGAGCAACUCUGCUGAUUAUCAACAGGGAGUUUAGGGAUGUCAAUUACACUGCUCAGUGUCAUUGGAAAUACUAAUCUCUUGUAUCUUAGUUGAAUAAGUGUUCUAGUUUUACAGUGGGUGGAAUUGUGUUUGCUUUUCAGUGCC